rnacentral:rRNA from 1 species
GACGAACGCUGGCGGCGUGCUUAACACAUGCAAGUCGAACGGAAAGGCCCUGCUUUUGUGGGGUGCUCGAGUGGCGAACGGGUGAGUAACACGUGAGUAACCUGCCCUUGACUUUGGGAUAACUUCAGGAAACUGGGGCUAAUACCGGAUAGGAGCUCCUGCUGCAUGGUGGGGGUUGGAAAGUUUCGGCGGUUGGGGAUGGACUCGCGGCUUAUGAGCUUGUUGGUGGGGUAGUGGCUUACCAAGGCUUUGACGGGUAGCCGGCCUGAGAGGGUGACCGGCCACAUUGGGACUGAGAUACGGCCCAGACUCCUACGGGGGACAGCAGUGGGGAAUAUUGCACAAUGGGCGGACGCCUGAUGCAGCAACGCCGCGUGCGGGAUGACGGCCUUCGGGUUGUAAACCGCUUUCGCCUGUGACGAAGCGUGAGUGACGGUAAUGGGUAAAGAAGCACCGGCUAACUACGUG